rnacentral:rRNA from 1 species
UACGAGGGGGGCAAGCGUUAUUCGGAAUUAUUGGGCGUAAAGGGCGCGUAGGCGGCCUGGCAAGUGGAAGGUGAAAUCCCUCGGCUUAACCGAGGAACUGCCCUCCAAACUGCUUGGCUUGAGUCCGGGAGAGGUGAGUGGAAUUCCCAGUGUAGCGGUGAAAUGCGUAGAUAUUGGGAGGAACACCAGUGGCGAAGGCGGCUCACUGGACCGGAACUGACGCUGAGGCGCGAAAGCGUGGGGAGCAAACGGG